rnacentral:rRNA from 1 species
GUUGGCGGGGCGUUUUAGCAUGCAGUCGAGCGGCAAGGGCCUUCGGGCCCCUAGAGCGGCGGACGGGUGAGUAACACGUGGACAAUCUGCCCCCCGGCCGGGGAUAGCCCAGGGAAACCUGGAUUAAUACCGGAUGAGACGGGACGCACGAGGGUGCGAUCCGGGAAAGGCGCUGCGGCGCCGCCGGGGGAUGAGUCCGCGACCCAUUAGCUAGACGGCGGGGUAAAGGCCCACCGUGGCGACGAUGGGUAGCCGGCCUGAGAGGGUGGACGGCCACAUUGGAACUGAGACACGGUCCAGACUCCUACGGGAGGCAGCAGCUAAGAAUCUUCCGCAAUGGGCGAAAGCCUGACGGAGCGACGCCGCGUGAACGAAGAAGGCCGUGAGGUUGUAAAGUUCUUUUCGGGAGGGGGAAUGACCGUGGCAGGGAAUGGCCGCGGGAUGACGUGAAUCCCGGAAUAAGCCCCGGCUAACUACGUGCCAGCAGCCGCGGUAACACGUAGGGGGCGAGCGUUGUUCGGAAUCAUUGGGCGUAAAGGGCGUGCAGGCGGCACUGCAAGUCCGGCGUGAAAGACCCCGGCCCAACCGGGGGGGUGCGCUGGAAACUGCGGUGCUUGAGUACAGGAGGGGAUGCCGGAAUUCCAGGUGUAGGGGUGAAAUCUGUAGAUAUCUGGAAGAACACCGAUGGCGAAGGCAGGCAUCUGGCCAUGUACUGACGCUGAGACGCGAAGGUGCGGGGAGCAAACAGGUUUAGAUACCCUGGUAGUCCGCACAGUAAACGAUGUGCACCAGGUGGCGGGGGUAGAACCCUCGGUACCGUAGCAAACGCAUUAAGUGCACCGCCUGGGGAGUAUGCUCGCAAGGGUGAAACUCAAAGGAAUUGACGGGGGCCCGCACAAGCGGUGGAGCAUGUGGUUUAAUUCGAUGGUACGCGAGAAACCUUACCAGGGCUUGACUUACACCGGAAGCGCCGUGAAAGCGGCGUGCCCUUUGCGGCCGGUGAACAGGGGUUGCAUGGUUGC